UCCAACUUUUGAUCGUCCGUCUUAUUUAAAAAAAUAAGAUUAUUAUUUUUAUUGUUAUUAGAUGAUAAAAUAUGAAUAAUGAUUUAUGUGUACUAUUUUUUUACUAAUCUAUUUUAAAUAAGAUGGAUGACCAAACGUUGGA
rfam:Oryza sativa (indica cultivar-group) chromosome 5, whole genome shotgun sequence.